UGACAGGAUUCUUCGAGCCUCAACCUGUAGAAAGACAAAGAAUGGUAGAAUAUAGAACCAUCCAAACAUGAUGUACUGCGAUAUUCAGCUACUUGUGGAUGCAGUCGCCGCCACCUAGUGUACAGCAUUUUGUGCACAUUUUCCUUAUAUGAGAGGCCUCAAAUGUUGUAUCAAGCGAUAACUGUAAUUAAACCGCGUUGAAAAUUA
rnacentral:misc_RNA from 1 species